rnacentral:rRNA from 1 species
AUUGAACGCUGGCGGCAGGCCUAACACAUGCAAGUCGAGCGAGCGGCGGACGGGUGAGUAAUGCAUAGGAAUCUGCAUGGGCGUGGGGGAUAACGACAGGCAAUGGGAACUAAUACUGCUUACUCUCAGCUGAGCCUAGGCCGGAUUAGCUAGUUGGUGGGGUAAGGGCCAACAAAGGCGACGACCCGUAACUGGUCUGAGAGGAUGAUCAGUAACACUUGAACUGAGACACGGUCCAGACUCCUACGGGAGGCAGCAGUGGGGAAUAUUGCACAAUGGGCGCAAGCCUGAUGUAGCCAUGCCGCGUGUAUGAAGAAGGCCUUCGGGUUGUAAAGUACUUUCAGCGGGGAGGCGUUACCCGCAGAAGAAGCACCGGCUAACUCCGUGCCAGCAGCCGCGGUAAUAC